ACACUCCUACGGGAGGCAGCAGUGGGGAAUAUUGCACAAUGGGCGCAAGCCUGAUGCAGCCAUGCCGCGUGUAUGAAGAAGGCCUUCGGGUUGUAAAGUACUUUCAGCGGGGAGGAAGGCGAUAAGGUUAAUAACCUUGUCGAUUGACGUUACCCGCAGAAGAAGCACCGGCUAACUCCGUGCCAGCAGCCGCGGUAAUACGGAGGGUGCAAGCGUUAAUCGGAAUUACUGGGCGUAAAGCGCACGCAGGCGGUCUGUCAAGUCGGAUGUGAAAUCCCCGGGCUCAACCUGGGAACUGCAUUCGAAACUGGCAGGCUAGAGUCUUGUAGAGGGGGGUAGAAUUCCAGGUGUAGCGGUGAAAUGCGUAGAGAUCUGGAGGAAUACCGGUGGCGAAGGCGGCCCCCUGGACAAAGACUGACGCUCAGGUGCGAAAGCGUGGGGAGCAAACAGGAUUAGAAACCCUAGUAGUCCCAUG
rnacentral:rRNA from 1 species